rnacentral:rRNA from 1 species
CUUUAUUCCUACGGGAGGCAGCAGUGGGGAAUAUUGCACAAUGGGCGAAAGCCUGAUGCAGGACGCCGCGUGAGGGAUGACGGCCUUCGGGUUGUAAACCUCUUUCAGCAGGGAAGAAGCGAAAGUGACGGUACCUGCAGAAGAAGCGCCGGCUAACUACGUGCCAGCAGCCGCGGUAAUACGUAGGGCGCAAGCGUUGUCCGGAAUUAUUGGGCGUAAAGAGCUCGUAGGCGGCUUGUCACGUCGAUUGUGAAAGCCCGAGGCUUAACCUCGGGUCUGCAGUCGAUACGGGCUAGCUAGAGUGUGGUAGGGGAGAUCGGAAUUCCUGGUGUAGCGGUGAAAUGCGCAGAUAUCAGGAGGAACCACCGGUGGCGAAGGCGGAUCUCUGGGCCAUUACUGACGCUGAGGAGCGAAAGCGUGGGGAGCGAACAGGAUUAGAUACCCUGGUAGUCCACGCCGUAAACGGUGGGAACUAGGUGUUGGCGACAUUCCACGUCGUCGGUGCCGCAGCUAACGCAUUAAGUUCCCCGCCUGGGGAGUACGGCCGCAAGGCUAAAACUCAAAGGAAUUGACGGGGGCCCGCACAAGCGGCGGAGCAUGUGGCUUAAUUCGACGCAACGCGAAGAACCUUACCAAGGCUUGACAUACACCGGAAACGUCCAGAGAUGGCGCCCCGACUUG